GACGAACGCUGGCGGCGUGCUUAACACAUGCAAGUCGAACGGAAAGGCCCUGCUUUUGUGGGGUGCUCGAGUGGCGAACGGGUGAGUAACACGUGAGUAACCUGCCCUUGACUUUGGGAUAACUUCAGGAAACUGGGGCUAAUACCGGAUAGGAGCUCCUGCUGCAUGGUGGGGGUUGGAAAGUUUCGGCGGUUGGGGAUGGACUCGCGGCUUAUCAGCUUGUUGGUGGGGUAGUGGCUUACCAAGGCUUUGACGGGUAGCCGGCCUGAGCGGGUGACCGGCCACAUUGGGACUGAGAUACGGCCCAGACUCCUACGGGAGGCAGCAGUGGGGAAUAUUGCACAAUGGGCGGAAGCCUGAUGCAGCAGCGCCGCGUGCGGGAUGACGGCCUUCGGGUUGUAAACCGCUUUCGCCUGUGACGAAGCGUGAGUGACGGUAAUGGGUAAAGAAGCACCGGCUAACUACGUG
rnacentral:rRNA from 1 species